rnacentral:misc_RNA from 1 species
GAUGAAGAACGGCAGCGAAAUGCGAUAAGUAGUGUGAAUUGCAGAAUUCAGUGAAUCAUCGAAUCUUUGAACGCACAUUGCGCCCUUUGGUAUUCCUUAGGGCAUGCCUGUUCGAGCGUCAUUUAAAAAUUCAAGCUCAGCUUGGUGAUGGGUGCCUGUCCCACCUUUGCGUGCGGACUCGCCUCAAAUGCAGUUGGCAGCUUAUCCUCCGGCUCUAAACGCAGCAGAUUUGCGUCGAAGCGCCGUCGGGACGGGCUCUCCAGUAAGCAAACCCCCCCAAGAUUGACCUCGGAUCAGGCAGGGAUACCCGCUGAACUUAAGCAUAUCAAUAAGCGGAGGA